CCCCAUGAAUAUGGUCCGUCUGGUGCUGUAGCCC
rnacentral:sRNA from 1 species